GCGUGAAGGAUGAAUGCCUUCGGGUUGUAAACUCUUUUUACAGGAACAUAAACUGAGCGUACUGUAAGAAUAAGCACCUGCUAACUACGUGCCAGAGGCAUCGGUGAUACGUAGGGUGCGAGCAUUGUCCGGAAUUACUGGGCGUAAAGAGAUGCGUAGGCUUUUUGAUAAGUCUUUCGUUAAAUACCAUGGCUUAACUGUGGAAAAGCGAGGGAAACUAUCAGAAUAGAGAUCGGUAGAGGUAGAUGGAAUUCCUGGUGGAGCAGUGAAAUGCGUUGAUAUCAGGAAGAACACCAAGGGCGAAGGCAGUCUACUGGACCGGUUCUGACGCUGAGGCUCGAAAGCGUGGGUAGCAAAACGGAUUAGAUACCCGUGUAGUCCACGCCGUAAACGAUGGAUAUUAGAUGUUUGGUCCAAUGUUUGACUUCGGUUAGAUAUUGGGUUGAGUGUCACAGUUAACGCAGUAAAUAUCCCGCCUGGGGAGUACGACCGCAAGGUUA
rnacentral:rRNA from 1 species